GAGGGACGGAGGGACGAGCAUCCAGCCGGUCGUGUCUGGCUGCCUGCAGCACUCUCCAACACCCGCUGCUGCCCAUCCGCUGCCCGCCUGCCUGGCAUCUCUUGAUCCCGCCUGUGCGCAGCGGGCGGACUCUGGAAGCACACCUGCGACCGAAGGGUGACGGUGCUGAGACAGCCCCACUGUUGGCGGGGUGACGCGUGUGGGUGGAGGUGAAGUCUGUGUCGUGCCUGGAAGCAGAGGAUGGACGAGGAGCAGGGUUAACAGGUCGACUUUAUGGCAUCGUCACGAGACUCAGGGCAGCUGACACCCGGGGGCACGGCAGGCUCUUGACCGCACACACUGGCCACCCCGACAGAGUGACCUGACACAGAGCUGCUUUGAGAGAACAGGUAGCAAUUAUAGAAAUCUUUUGUAGAGACAGUGACAGAAACAGAAAUAAAUAUGAGUUGCAUUGUAUUAGAACUGUAGAGGCAGAAGAUUUUGAUGAAGUUACUCUUCCAUGGACUGAGCAUACGUGCCUAGCUGUCUGCUGACCACCUGGGACGUAGAGAGGAGUCAGGAACUGUCCCUUGACCUGGAGCGUCAUGGUCCU